AGUGAACGCUGGCGGUAGGCCUAACUCAUGCAAGUCGAACGGCAGCACAGUAAGAGCUUGCUCUUACGGGUGGCGAGUGGCGGACGGGUGAGGAAUACAUCGGAAUCUACUUUUUCGUGGGGGAUAACGUAGGGAAACUUACGCUAAUACCGCAUACGACCUACGGGUGAAAGCAGGGGAUCUUCGGACCUUGCGCGAUUGAAUGAGCCGAUGUCGGAUUAGCUAGUUGGCGGGGUAAAGGCCCACCAAGGCGACGAUCCGUAGCUGGUCUGAGAGGAUGAUCAGCCACACUGGAACUGAGACACGGUCCAGACUCCCACGGGAGGCAGCAGUGGGGAAUAUUGGACAAUGGGCGCAAGCCUGAUCCAGCCAUACCGCGUGGGUGAAGAAGGCCUUCGGGUUGUAAAGCCCUUUUGUUGGGAAAGAAAAGCAGCAGGUUAAUACCCCGCUGUUCUGACGGUACCCAAAGAAUAAGCACCGGCUAACUUCGUG
rnacentral:rRNA from 1 species